rnacentral:tRNA from 1 species
GCUGGGGUGGCGGAACUGGUAUACGCGCUGGUCUCAAAAACCAGUCAGGGCAACCUGGUGAGGGUUCGAUUCCCUCCCCCAGCA